rnacentral:rRNA from 1 species
GAGUUUGAUCCUGGCUCAGGACGAACGCUGGCGGCGUGCUUAACACAUGCAAGUCGAGCGAAGCACCUUGACGGAUUUCUUCGGAUUGAAGCCUUGGUGACUGAGCGGCGGACGGGUGAGUAACGCGUGAGGAACCUGCCUCAAAGAGGGGGACAACAGUUGGAAACGACUGCUAAUACCGCAUAAGCCCACGACCUGGCAUCGGGUAGAGGGAAAAGGAGCAAUCCGCUUUGAGAUGGCCUCGCGUCCGAUUAGCUAGUUGGUGAGGUAAUGGCCCACCAAGGCGACGAUCGGUAGCCGGACUGAGAGGUUGAACGGCCACAUUGGGACUGAGACACGGCCCAGACUCCUACGGGAGGCAGCAGUGGGGAAUAUUGCACAAUGGGGGAAACCCUGAUGCAGCGACGCCGCGUGGAGGAAGAAGGUCUUCGGAUUGUAAACUCCUGUUGUUGAGGAAGAUAAUGACGGUACUCAACAAGGAGGUGACGGCUAACUACGUGCCAGCCGCCGCGGUAAUUC